rnacentral:misc_RNA from 1 species
UACACGCGUACACAUGUGGAACAAAACUGCGUGCCGGCGCUGGUUAGCGCGCUCGCCGCUUCGUCUUCGCGGAACCGCCAGUGCCGGUGGUGAGGAUAAGCGAACCUCGAAUGCUUGUGGCAGUGCCUCCCCAGGGCGAGGAGCAGUGAGCGCAUCUCAUCUUGCAACGGAGGGCACUCGCACGAGUGUGGCACCGUCUGCGCCUCCAGCGGUGGCCUCGGCAGCGCCGUCAUCAACUCUCUCGACCCUCACGCACGCUGUCGAUCAGCUUCGCGAGUUCACACGGCGCACCCAGCACACGCUACGCACACAGGAGGAAACGAUCCGGUUGAUGCAGCAGGAGCUGUUGCUCCUGACACGGCGUGUGGCGCAGCUGGAGAGCACUGCGGACGGCUUGCACGGGAAGCUCAACGAGGUGCAUCGUUCUAUAGGGGAAGUGGUGCUGGGCCAGCGAAACACCGACCUGCUUGUGCAGCAGAUGGAACGGCGGCAUCUCGCCGGGCCUGCCGGCACAGAAGCGGCGACAGGUAGUGGUAGGGGAGAGGGUGUUGCUCAAUCAACGGCGGCGCCUCUCUCCGAUACAUGCGCCUCGCCCACUGCAAGCCAUGACGGUGGUGCCUCCCUUGCAGCUGCGGCACACGCGGCUACAACAGUCGCGCCUGCCGCUUUGCCAUCAAGCGCACAACUAGCCGAGCAGGUAAGCAUUCUGCAAGCGCGGCUAGAUCAGCUCACCACCAACAUCUUCGCCGCUGAUCGCCUUGGCGCCGUCGUCGAUCGCAUGGCAGCAUCCGGAAUCGACAAGGAGAAAGUCGCAGCAAGUGUUCUGCCUUCAGAGAGCCCGUCGAGUCGUGCUAGUCUGCUCCAGCGGCUGCAGCGGCGGUACGCGCUCGGCACCUUCACGGAUGCAGCCGGCGUCACUCGCCUUUCGAGCCAGGUCGUUCGGGUGCACAACGUACCUCUGAACAUGGGUGCCAUGGAGGUGCGAGAGCUUUGUGUUCAGCACGUCUGCACGGGGAAGAACGCCGAUGAGCUGGUGAGCUGCAUGGUGCACCGCAGCACCGAUAGCAUACCUGCCGUAGCAGCAGUAGCUGGCCACGCACGCCAUCCAGUGCAGGAAGGCGUGGACUCACCCACCGACGCGGCAGCUCCUCGAUACUUGUCAAGAAAGGCGACGUCCAAGACUUCUUCCUCGUCCCUUGCCUCCGCAGACGCCGCCGCGCUGGGUGAUCUUCCUCGCAGUGACACGGUGGCUGCAAUCCGCCCAAACACGAAGACCCUUGAGGUGGUGUUCACCUCGGCCGCCGCCGCGGUGCGGGCCCUGCAGGUGCUGAACGGGAUGUACCUGCGUCCGACGCUACACGGAACACCUCUGCCGCUGGUUGUUGAGCCGGUGGUGUCGGCGGAUGUGCUGGCGGCGCUGAAGGCGUGGGAAGAAGAAGCUGCCGCAGCGUCGCAACACCUCACAAAGUAGGAGAGUUCUAAGCAUUCCUUUCCCCUCCCCGCCCCCUCUGCCGCUGAGGCAGAGGCAACGGUGCGUGGGCCUGGGGCGCGACACGAUAGUCAAGUCCACCUCAAUCGGCCGGUCAGUUGAACGGCUUGUGCGGUUACCUUAUGCUUCUUGCUAAUUACAGUGGUGUGCAUGUUUGAUGCAGCAUACGGUGCGUAUGGUGUUCGAUGUCUGUCACGGCGUUCUCUCUGACUGUAUCGUGGCUCUCCCAGAGUACGCUGUCACAUGCACCCAUUAAAUGUGGCGGCAGCUUGAAACGCCCUAAAGAAGGAAAACAAGAAGCGUGCCUUCCCUCCCCCCGCCCCCCACCCCUCCACACACAUACACACACAU